rnacentral:rRNA from 1 species
UACGUAGGGUGCAAGCGUUGUCCGGAAUUAUUGGGCGUAAAGAGUUCGUAGGCGGUUUGUCGCGUCUGUCGUGAAGGCCCGGGGCUUAACUCCGGGUCUGCGGUGGAUACGGGCAGACUAGAGGCAGGUAGGGGAGAACGGAAUUCCCGGUGUAGCGGUGAAAUGCGCAGAUAUCGGGAGGAACACCAGUGGCGAAGGCGACUUCCUGGCCUGUUCUUGACGCUGAGGCGCGAAAGCGUGGGGAGCAAACAGGG